GUUUCCAUAGUGUAGUGGUUAUCACAUCUGCCUCACACGCAGAAGGUCCCCGUUUGAAAACACGUGGAAACA
rnacentral:tRNA from 1 species